rfam:Schistosoma mansoni, Puerto Rico, WGS project CABG01000000 data, contig: 0180
ACCAAGCUGAUGAGUCCCAAAUAGAACGAAACGCGAAUCCUAGAU